rnacentral:rRNA from 1 species
AACGAACGCUGGCGGCAGGCUUAACACAUGCAAGUCGAGCGCCCCGCAAGGGGAGCGGCAGACGGGUGAGUAACGCGUGGGAAUCUACCUUUUGCUACGGAAUAACUCAGGGAACUUGUGCUAAUACCGUAUGUGCCCUUCGGGGGAAAGAUUUAUCGGCAAAGGAUGAGCCCGCGUUGGAUUAGCUAGUUGGUGGGGUAAAGGCCCACCAAGGCGACGAUCCAUAGCUGGUCUGAGAGGAUGAUCAGCCACCCUGGGACUGAGACACGGCCCAGACUCCGACGGGAAGCAGCAGUGGGGAAUAUUGGACAAUGGGCGCAAGCCUGAUCCAGCCAUGCCGCGUGAGUGAUGAAGGCCCUAGGGUUGUAAAGCUCUUUCACCGGUGAAGAUAAUGACGGUAACCGGAGAAGAAGCCCCGGCUAACUUCGUGCCAGCCGCCGCAGUAAAAC